rnacentral:rRNA from 1 species
GACGAACGCUGGCGGCGUGCUUAACACAUGCAAGUCGAACGGAAAGGCCCCUUUGGGGGUACUCGAGUGGCGAACGGGUGAGUAACACGUGAGUAACCUGCCCUUGACUUCGGGAUAACUUCAGGAAACUGGGGCUAAUACCGGAUAGGAAUCCUUGCUGCAUGGUGGGGGUUGGAAAGCUUCGGCGGUUUUGGAUGGACUCGCGGCUUAUCAGCUUGUUGGUGGGGUAGUGGCUUACCAAGGCUUUGACGGGUAGCCGGCCUGAGAGGGCGACCGGCCACAUUGGGACUGAGAUACGGCCCAGACUCCUACGGGAGGCAGCAGUGGGGAAUAUUGCACAAUGGGCGGAAGCCUGAUGCAGCAACGCCGCGGGCGGGAUGACGGCCUUCGGGUUGUAAACCGCUUUCAGCAGGGGCGAAGCUUGUGGUGACGGUACCUGCAGAAGAAGCACCGGCUAACCACGUG